rnacentral:rRNA from 1 species
CAGUCGCCACGGUAAUACGGAGGGUGCAAGCGUUAAUCGGAAUUACUGGGCGUAAAGCGUGCGUAGGUGGUGGUUUAAGUCCGUUGUGAAAGCCCUGGGCUCAACCUGGGAAUUGCAGUGGAUACUGGAUCACUAGAGUGUGGUAGAGGAUAGUGGAAUUUCCGGUGUAGCAGUGAAAUGCGUAGAGAUCGGAAGGAACAUCUGUGGCGAAGGCGACUAUCUGGGCCAACACUGACACUGAGGCACGAAAGCGUGGGGAGCAAGCAGGAUUAGAGACCCCCGUAGUCCCUGUCUCUUAUAC